UACAGAGGUCUCGAGCGUUGUUCGGAUUUAUUGGGCGUAAAGGGUGCGUAGGCGGUAAGGUAAGUCUGGUGUGAAAUCCUGGGGCUCAACCCCAGAAUUGCACUGGAUACUGCUUUGCUAGAGGACUGGAGAGGAGAUUGGAAUUCACGGUGUAGCAGUGAAAUGCGUAGAUAUCGUGAGGAAGACCAGUGGCGAAGGCGAAUCUCUGGACAGUUCCUGACGCUGAGGCACGAAGGCUAGGGGAGCAAACGGG
rnacentral:rRNA from 1 species